CGCCCUGUAGCUCAAUGGUUCGAGCCCCACGUUUCUACGUGGAAGGUUGAGAGUUCAAAUCCCUCCAGGGCAA
rnacentral:tRNA from 1 species